UACGUAGGGGGCAAGCGUUGUCCGGAUUUACUGGGCGUAAAGAGCGUGUAGGCGGCCAAGCAGGUCCGUUGUGAAAACUGGAGGCUUAACCUUCAGACGUCGACGGAAACCGCGCGGCUAGAGUCCGGAAGAGGAGAGUGGAAUUCCGAGUGUAGAGGUGAAAUUCGUAGAUAUUCGGAGGAACACCAGUGGCGAAGGCGGCUCACUGGUCCGGUACUGACGCUGAGGUGCGAAAGCGUGGGGAGCAAACAGG
rnacentral:rRNA from 1 species